rnacentral:rRNA from 1 species
UACGGGAGGCAGCAGUGGGGAAUAUUGCACAAUGGGCGCAAGCCUGAUGCAGCCAUGCCGCGUGUAUGAAGAAGGCCUUCGGGUUGUAAAGUACUUUCAGUCGUGAGGAAGGUGUUAAGGUUAAUAACCUUAGCAAUUGACGUUAGCGACAGAAGAAGCACCGGCUAACUCCGUGCCAGCAGCCGCGGUAAUACGGAGGGUGCGAGCGUUAAUCGGAAUUACUGGGCGUAAAGGGCACGCAGGCGGUUAAUUAAGUUGGAUGUGAAAUCCCCGGGCUUAACCUGGGAAUGGCAUUCAAGCUGGUUAGCUAGAGUCUUGUAGAGGGGGUAGAAUUCCAUGUGUAGCGGUGAAAUGCGUAGAGAUGUGGAGGAAUACCGGUGGCGAAGGCGGCCCCUGGACAAAGACUGACGCUCAUGUGCGAAAGCGUGGGGAGCAAACG